AUACAUCUAGGUUACGCUGAAAUACAACAUUCCGAACUCCAGUACAUUUGACAGCGAAGACUUUACCAUCAGUGGUUCAAACUCCACCUCUGACUGCAAAGAAAGUACUAUACACUUUUGUGUCAGACAACCACAAUCUUUAGAAACUCCCGGGAUGUCUGUCGUCGAUAUUAAUAUGGUUUCUGGUUAUACUCCAGAAAAGACAUCUUUACAAAAGCUUGUUCUCAAUGAAUCAUCUGAGAUAAAGCGUUUCGAAGUGGAGAAGAAUAAUGUGUACCUGUAUUUCACAGAGCGUCCCAAGAUUCGCAGAU